rnacentral:rRNA from 1 species
UCGGAUUGUAGUCUGCAACUCGACUACAUGAAGCUGGAAUCGCUAGUAAUCGCGAAUCAGCAUGUCGCGGUGAAUACGUUCCCGGGUCUUGUACACACCGCCCGUCACACCAUGGGAGUCAGUAACGCCCGAAGCCGGUGACCCAACCGAAACCGGAGGGAGCCGUCGAAGGUGGGACCGAUAACUGGGGUGAAGUCGUAACAAGGUACC